UUUUAAAAUGUGUUUUUAUUUAAUAAUUGUCAUUUAUUUAAAUUUAAUGUUAUUAAUAUUGUGAAAAUUGUGAUUAGUAGAUAUCAACAUACUUUAGUUAUGUAUAACUUUUAGUAAAAGUUUUAAUUUUUUUUUAUUUAAUAAAGAUCUUUAUAUAUUUGUUAAUUUGUUGUUUCCUUCUGUAAGGGAUUUUUUAGUAAUCACUUUUUUCUGUUUAAUGCAUGAUAUUAAAGUUUGUUUUAUUUUUGAUUUUUUUUACUGUUAUAUUGUAUUUUGGGGAAUACUUUGUUUUCUUUUUGAAAAAAGGAAAUACUUAAUUUUAUUGACAUAAUAAAAACACAUAUACUGAAAUGAAAUAUGAUGAUGAUAAUGAAUAUUGAGGCUCCUGAUUGACCGGUGCCACUCAGUAUCAGUGUGCCAAAGCCUAGCAUGUGAAUCUCUGCGUGGAGUAGUGGAACCUAUGUUUAAAACAAAAGAGAUUCGAUUUAAGAACAAAACUUUGACAUCAGGUUUAGAAAACAAAUCUUAUUGUUUUGUUUCAUUCAUCAGAUCAAUUAUAUUAGCACACUUGAAAUGUAAGGUCGCUUGUAACAUAAAACUUCAGGUACUGCCUUUCCUAAUUGUCUUCCAUUAAACCAAUAAGAAAUAAUGUCAACGUGGACCACGAGAUAUAUGCAAACCAACAGUUUUACUUUUAAAGCUAUUAAGAUAAAGUGACUUACUUGUGAUUUAAGAGGACGCCAGAGACCCAUCUUCACUUCUGAAAGGAAGACGGACCCAAAACAAAAAACAAUUACACAUUGACUUGAAGCCAUAAUCACUUAUGGAAAAUAUGUCACAUAUUCCUCCUUACAUGAAUGGCUCAUUUACAUGACCCCCUGACAUAUGUGAGGUCCCACCAAUUGAGUUAUGUAGAAUGUAAAGCUGGUAAACAUCUGCUCUUCUGGAAGUAAUGUAAUAGAAAGGAAUCAGAUGCCAACUCACCGCCUAUGUAAAAAAUAAGGCUCACUUUUGCUCUUUCCUUUCCAGUGUUCACCAACUAAACAAAAGUAGUAAAUCUUAAGGUUUUCCUCAGAUUCUGCUUGCAGGAUACUCUACAAGUGCUACCAUUUCAGAUAUUGAAAUAUAACAAUGUGUAGAGGUCCAUCAACUAAGGAAAAAGUAUGAAAACAGACACACACACAUGUGAAAUGUGCACGGUUUAGAUAUUCCAAAAGUUGUUUUCUUAAAGUCUUAUUUCACAUGCUUUCAGAAAUAAUGUUUUCUCUAGUUACAAAAGCAGCACAAGAUUUCGAUAUGCAUAUCCACUUGAUAAAUAGAAUACUUACUGAAAAAUACCUGCUGAAGCUACUAUCUCGGUAAUUGUUUUGUAGAAAGGGAGAUCUUUGUCGACAUGAAAGCUUAAACUCUGGGUCAGGCUCACCUACAAACAGAAGCAACAUUACAAGUAAUAUACAGAGAGAAAUAAGAUAGCCUUCAGACAAAGUCAUAUAGGCUAGUACCAUCAUAUACAGUCAAGGCCCAAGGAAAUAGCGCAUGAUGAGUAGAAUGCUAGCCAUUCAGAUUCCAACCCCAUGAAGAUUUUCCCUUAUCACGUGAUUUUCUGAGACCAUGAAACCAUUCCAUAAUCCCAGCAUGUUUCUUUGGCUCAAGCAAUAACGCCUCUUCAAGCUUAGUGAUGAUGUCUACGCACACAAAGCACAUAUGUUAUAACCAAUCCAUAGAUCACAUCAGUUUUUUCAAAUCUAAAAAAAACAUACUUUUAAUCGUUUGUUAUAACCUUGAACUGGCAUCUUCCCUUGUUAAAGAGAAUUAGAUGUAAUUACAUACACAUCGCAGAAACCACCUAUGACUUUCUGGUCAUAGUUAAUAACCAAAUGUCCCUACAAAAAAAAAAAAAGUAAACACCUUCAUGAUCAUCUUUAAAUCCCCCAUUGUCAUAAUCAAGCAGAGUGCAAGCAUUAAGCAGUAGCAGUGAUCAAUUCCAGCAAACCCCUAAGUUCUCUAAACCGCAGCAUCUCUAGACAAAUUAAUCUAACAAUUAGUCAAUGUAUACCCAAUAGCGAAGGGAUGAGGUGUCAAUGGGAAUUCUUCAUCGGUGACCGUAGCAUUAACACCAAGGCUAUCUUCAUCCUCGUCGUCUUCCUUUCCUCCUCGAAGCUAAUCCGGUUAGCGGCAUCCAGCUGAGCCGUAUGCACAGCCGCUGCCAGAUCAGAUCCCGCCGGCUCAAAUGUUUCCAGUCUCGAUCAUCAGUCUAGUCGACUCGUCUAACAUGUGAUGCUCUCGGAUGUGGAGUUUCAGAAGAAGAUGAUUCAUCUUCUGGGAUUGUUCGUCGAUGGUGAAAUUAAGAAGCGACGACAAAAUCAAUGGCUACCUAUAUGCUUCACUUCGUCUUUAACCUCUAUCUUCAUCCUCGUCGUUUUCCUUUCCUCCUCCAAACUCUAGACCUCUCUAUCUUCAGUUUCAGACCUUUCACCGUGAAAAUCUAAGAUGCCUCUCGUAUCUCGGAAUAAUCCUUCACAAUCCCAGACUUGCUCCACCGGUGGACAACCUUCCCGUCAUCCUCUCCGCUAUGAUCACUUCCUAAAAUCAAACGGAAUCUCCGCCGUAGACUUUCCUCGCCUCAUCUUUCUAUGCCCACAACUCUUCUCUGCGACUUUCUCCAUCUCCCAAACUAAUCCCGUCUUCGAUGAAAUUAAGAAAGAGAAAAAGGUUAAGAUGUGAAUGACGUGGAGAAACCAAAUAUUUUCAUUAGCUUUCAACUUUUUUCAUUUAAUGACAUGUCAACCUCUUAAGUCUUAAUACUCUAAAAGUCUGAUGUGUCAACACCAGAAGAGAACCUAGCUCUAUUAUUGUGUUGAUUGCUUUUUGGAAUCCAUAUUUAAUAAAACACUAGAUUUUGACAUGCACUUUCAAAGCACAAAAUAAUUUUUGGGGUAAAAUUUUAUAUUAUCGCAUUUUAUCUUUAUUUGAAGUAAACAUGGGCAUAAGUUUGUAACCCGAAGUCUGAACCAUCCGAUACGAAACGUAAAAAAAAAACAGAAUGAAUCUUGUAUGGUGGUAUAAAACAUAUCUGAACUCGAAGUGUUAUUAGCUGAACUCGAAAAGGUAACCCAAAAACUCGGAAAACCCAAAAUAAAUCUGACUAACCCAAAAAAUAAAAAUAACUGAUUCGAUUUGUCAAAUUAAUAAAAAAUAUUAAUAUUUGAAACAUAAAAUAUGUACUUCAAAGAUUUAAUUUUAUACGGGUGCUUGCAUCAUUUUCCUUUGCUUUAAGAGACGAGGAAAACUUGCUUCUUUUUUUCCGUUUAUAUAUAUAUAUCUAUAAUAAUAAAGGAGAGUUUUCUCCCUCAUUAGGCUGUCCACGUCGCUCUGGAAAGGGGGGGCUUUCUCGCCACGUGUCGGCGCGCUGAGUGGUAUGUGAAUUUCACGCGUUUGCUUUUUAUCUGCGCGUAUGUUUUGCUUAGUCCUCGCUUCUUUUCUGUUUUCCUUAUUCCUCUAUUUGGGUUUGGGUAAUGUUCGAAAAAUAAGCCCACAUAGGCCUAGAUGCUCAUCAUCGUCUCUGGUCACGUGAGAUUAGGGUUCUUCUUCAUUCUUUUUUUUUGCGGUGGAUGCUUGAGCGUCUAAUUUCCAGAGAAACUAAGCACUCCCUUCGCUACCCGUAACGACUUCCAAGUUCCAAUUCCUCAAAGCCGUCAUUUAUUUUGAGUUUUCCCUUGAGUAAUCCACUUCUCAUUCAUUAAGAUUUCGGUGCACCUGUACGUUUCCCUUGAAACCGCCUAUAUCUCCAGCUAUAUAUAUCUCACCUCCAUACCAUGCAAACUCCAACUCAAACCAAAUCCGAAAACUUUUAAUUUGCAAGCAAACGAUUUCGAUGGGUAAUUCAUAAACCGUUCUUGCUGACUUGAGAGCCGGGAGAUGCUCCAACGCGGCGGAGGUCUGUCUUUUGAGAUUCUGGAAGCCAAGAACAUCAACAAAAGGGGACAACUGAUGAGCCUUGAGAUGUUAUUGAUUGAUGAACAAGCGUUUACUUACUUGAAGAAUGGUUCCAUGGUUUCUUUGAGUAGCUACAAAAUCCCACAGCCAAAAGCCGGCACCGUACUUCAACCGUGACUCCUCGGUUAUCCACCGCAGCUUCGUCGACUUUCAAUCCUUGCCGCCAUUUCUCAAUACAACUCAGCCACCUCCAAUGCCUCAACAGUAUCAAGACCAUUUACCUUGCCAGAAAAGUAAGCUGGAUCUCGGUUCAAUGUCGAACUCCUUACAGAACGGAGCCCAAGUUUUAGCAAACUCAGCUGCUUUCGUGAGAGCAUAGAACGUUAGCUGAGAGCUAGCGUCGUCCGAGAGAUAAACGACGAGAUUCUUUGGUGGGUAAACGAGAGCCAACACGGAUAGGACUGUGUUGACCAUCAUCAAUAAUGGCUCGAUCACCGGAUCCGCCAUGGAGUGGAAAAUAUCCAGCUUUGGGAGACCGUUACCGUAUCUCUGGGAGAGUCUAUUGGCGAAGGUGAAUCGCCAAACAGGAUUCCACCGGACAGAUUGUUGGUAUUAAUCAAACAAAACCGGUUUGGUAUUCAAUAAUCUCAACUGGUAUGGUAUGGUCAGUCUUUAAAGCAAAAGCCAACAGAUUCAGCCAAAAACGGAGGUCUUGAAACCUCUGAACGCAAUUUUUCCUCCGGUCCUCUUCCUGGUCACAAGAAGCGGCUAACUAUCGCCUUCAUGAACCAGUAUAAACUGGUAGUCUUUUUUUUUUUUGACUGAUAAACCGGUCGUCUUCUUUUGUCCUGUUCUUCUUUCUGUGAUUUCUCUGAAACAGAGUAAGUGGAAAGCUAAGACUAGGGCAUCAGCCACAUAUUUACUUAUCCGACAUGUUCAAAAGCAACUAAGAAGGCACACCUUGAAUAGGUUGAAGAGGAUACAGUCUUAAACCAAGACGUCGACUCCUAAAAUAAUGCUUAGGCAUCGUUGUUGCUUUUAUUUACUUCAUCUGAUGUUAACUAUCUUCAACGGAAUAUAAAGUUAUAUUUGGAAUUCAUUAUCAUCUUUGGCCACAUAUUGGUGUACUAUUAUGUUUGUGUUCUAUUCUCAUGACAGCAUUACGACAAACUAAAAUCGUUAACGAUAAUAGCUACUGAGAUGUCAUUGAUAAUACGUGUGACCUAAGUUAUGUAUACUGCCUCGAGAUUUUGUCUGACCAAACAUUGAAACCAUAGAGGUAGAAGUUGAAAUUCAACAUAGGAAUAAUUAGAGACACCUAAAUUUCACACAUGCAACUUUUACAUAGCUUAAGAUGAUGUACAAAAUUACAUCUAAAUGGUACAAAAUAUUAAGUAAAGAUAUAAUGCUAAAUAAAGUUAUUAAAAACAUUAAAACAUACCUAAAUUAGGAAUGUAUUUUGGAAUUUCCCAACUAAACUAUAGUCUAUAUAUAAUUAUACGAAAUCUAUAGUGGAGCAAAAUUUGGAAUAUGUAAAGAAGUUUGAGUAAUUCAUGCACAUCAUUUAAACAAAUAAAAUCACCACCAACACACAGACCAUUGUAGUCUAAACACUUUCCAUUUUCCAUGGCUUUUUUUUUUUGCCUUGCUUUGUUUCAGUUUUCGGUUACAAGGAAAUAAACUACAUUCACAUAAUUAACGCUAUUUAGAUUAAAGAAAAUUGAGCAACCGGCAUGGUAGAAAAAUAAUUCAACAAAAUAUCACUCAGUUUACUCUAACAACAUUUACAAAGCUGUAUAAUAUGUUCAUAGAAGAAGGUUCAUGCCUACGAAAUGAACGAAAUAGGGUGCAUUAAUUAAUAAGGUGUUAAAGACAUGACCAUGCAACAAUUUAGUGAGCCAGCAAUUUUUUCCUCCGAUAACUUAUAGACGGUCAAUAAUUUUUACGCAACUAUAAAUUUGAUACAAAUAUAAAUGUGAUUCAAAUACAAACUACAUAUCAUUGACCACAUACAAAACUCUUUGUCUUAACAUUCGAUGGUAAAGACCCAACGGCUUACUAACCACAACAAACCAAGCUCUGCACACUCACAUGAAACCUUACUACCAUGAAGGCCACUUUUUAAUAAAAAACUGUAACCAUUAUUUGAAGACAAAUCUGUUGUAUAUAUAUUACAGAUGGUUCAAAUACAUCAAAACGGAUGUAGGACAAAGUCAGAACAAAAAAAAUUAAAAUGAAAAAUUUGCACCAGGAUUAUGCAAUUCCAAAAUGUUUGUACAUCUAACAAUGUUAUAACGCAAAAAUAUUGUUGUAAGAACUUUGUCGAUAUAGUUGUAAGUUUAGCUGUAGAAAAAUAUUAUAACUUUUAAACCGAUGGUUGAAAUAAAAUAACUAAAAACAUGAAAAAAAAACAAAUAGGACUGUUAAUUUAACGGGGAGAGGAGUCCAUUAAAUUACUUAAAAACUAAUUUGAAACAAAAGCUAUAAGAAAUUAUAAGUGAACUGAAACAUUUCUACAAUCCAAACAAUAUAACUAAAAUUUAAAUAAUUUUCUUUUUAUUUUGCUCAUCACCUUAUAUAUAAUUUAAAUUAAUAAAUAAAUUAUUUAAAAUAGUUUUAAAAAUGUAGGAAAAAUAAAUAAAUAAUUUUAAAGUUGUCUAGCAACUUAUAUUUUAAUAAUAACACAAUAUAUAUGCUAAAAUAUGCAUACAAAAGAUAUAAUUAAGAUUAAAAAUUUAACAAAAACCCCGGGCGUAGCCCGGGCCAACCCCUAGUAUAUAUAUAAAGUUAGCUUUUCAUUUCUUAUGACAAGUGGCAGAGAGGUUUGAUUACAUGUGUCUCUCAUAUAUUUUUUCUUCUUAUAUUUUAGAUCCUUCUUCUUUUAGAUUAUUGCAAUUUUGGCUAAAUAUUUUCUAAUUGUGCACUAUCUAAUCUUUUUCGCACUAACCAUUAUUAUAUGAAGUUUGAUAAUCUAUUUUAUUGGUCACUAAAAUUCAAGAAAAUAAAUAAUUAUAUUUUAAAUAUUUAAUUUAUUUACAACAAAAAUAAGAUAAAUUUUAUUAUUUUAUUAUUUUUGUUCCAUUUUUAUUAUUUUAUUUAUAAAUUAUAUAUUUAUUUUACUAUUAAAAAUCACAAUCACAGAGAAAAAACAAAAUACCAUAAUAACACUAACUCAAUAAAAGUUUAGAGGUGAAAUGAGAUCAACUAAGAAGACUAGCUUACCUCAUCUUACCAUAUAAUGUCUUGGAUAGAACAAGCAGAUGUCAGACAAGAUACAAAUAUAAAUCUGAAAUAAAACAAUCCCCUGAACACAAAGGAGUGUGAUCAAGUACCAAUGCAAAAAGCCAAAAAAUAGAUCAUAGAUAGAAUAAUCAUUGGAAGAACAAAGCAACCACGAAACAAGAAAACACAUGCCUAAAGAACCAAAAGCACAACCACUAGCUAAGAGGUAAGAAACACCACACAAACUAAACAAACACAUACAAAGGGCACAUGCCAGGGAAAACCCUUAAAGCUCUGAAUAUAAGUGACCAAAGCUCCAAACGACUAACUCUGCACACACACCAAAGGACACAAGAGAAGAAAAGAGAAAACCUUAGAGAAUGAGAAUGGAAGUCAACCACCAAAAAACUAGAGCUUAAGCUUGAGACCAAAAAUUACCUUCCAUACCCAUAGAGCAUACAGAGAGGAGAACACUAUCCAAAUAUGGAAUAGCAAAUAUGGUGAAAGGGAAAGACCCAGAAAUGCGAGCAACGAUGUAAGGUGCAACAAGAUGAAAGAACAAAGAGAGAAAA